AAACUGCCAAGGGGAAAAAGAGUUCCGAAUUGAGAGGUGGGGAAGGUUGAGAGGAAGUGGAUUCAGGGCAUGGAAGUGAUGGCAGGGGCAUCGUGGGUUCGGAUGGGAAACGGGUCUUGAUCGGCGCGGGGACUCGUGCGCUAUUUUACCCGACUCUGCUUUACAAUGUCAUCAGGAAUAAGCUUCAAGCUAAGUGGUGAGGUGCCUCACUUAAAGGAGGUCGGAGUUCGUGGAGUCAUCACACUUAAUGAGCCAUAUGAGACUGAUUCCAACAUCUCUUUAUCAGUCCAAUGGCAUUAGCCAUCUGGUGAUCCCUACCAGAGACUACUGCUUUGCACCAGAGUUGUGAUACUUCUGUUUUUAUUUGCUUUGUUAUUUUAGUCUAUAUGCAGACUUUCCUGAACAAUGAUUUAACUAUAUAUUUCUGAUUUUUUGUUGUC